rnacentral:tRNA from 3 species
GGGCGCGUAGCUCAGUUGGUUUAGAGCGCCGUCUUCACACGGCGGAGGUCACAAGUUCAAAUCUUGUCGCGCCCACCA